UAAUACGUAGGGUGCGAGCGUUAAUCGGAAUUACUGGGCGUAAAGCGUGCGCAGGCGGUUAUUUAAGACAGGUGUGAAAUCCCCGGGCUUAACCUGGGAAUUGCGCUUGUGACUGGAUAGCUAGAGUGCGGCAGAGGGGGGUGGAAUUCCACGUGUAGCAGUGAAAUGCGUAGAGAUGUGGAGGAACACCGAUGGCGAAGGCAGCCCCCUGGGCCAGCACUGACGCUCAUGCACGAAAGCGUGGGGAGCAAACAGGAUUAGAUACCCUGGUAGUCCACGCCCUAAACGAUGUCGACUAGUUGUUGGGGAAGGAGACUUCCUUAGUAACGAAGCUAACGCGUGAAGUCGACCGCCUGGGGAGUACGGUCGCAAGAUUAAAACUUAAAUGAAUUGACGG
rnacentral:rRNA from 1 species